UGCGUAGGUGGUGAGGUAAGUCGGAUGUGAAAUCUCCGGGCUCAACCCGGAAAUGGCAUUGGAAACUACCUUGCUGGAGGAUUUGAGGGGGGAUUGGAAUACUUGGUGUAGCAGUGAAAUGCGUAGAUAUCAAGUGGAACACCAGUGGCGAAGGCGAAUCCCUGGAAAAUACCUGACACUGAGGCACGAAAGCUAGGGAGCAAACA
rnacentral:rRNA from 1 species